UCGGGAAUUUUGGGCAAUGGGCGAAAGCCUGACCCAGCAACGCCGCGUGAAGGAUGAAGUAUUUCGGUAUGUAAACUUCGUAAGAAUAGGAAGAAUAAAUGACGGUACUAUUUGUAAGGUCCGGCUAACUACGUGCCAGCAGCCGCGGUAAUACGUAGGGACCAAGCGUUGUUCGGAUUUACUGGGCGUAAAGGGCGCGUAGGCGGUGUGUCAAGUCAGUUGUGAAAUCUCCGAGCUUAACUCGGAACGGUCAACUGAUACUGUCACACUAGAGUACAGAAGGGGCAAUCGGAAUUCUUGGUGUAGCGGUGAAAUGCGUAGAUAUCAAGAGGAACACCUGAGGCGAAGGCGGGUUGCUGGGCUGAUACUGACGCUGAGGCGCGAAAGCCUAGGGGUA
rnacentral:rRNA from 1 species